rnacentral:rRNA from 1 species
UACGGAAGGGGCGAGCGUUGUUCGGAAUCAUUGGGCGUAAAGGGCGCGUAGGUGGUCCUGUAUGUCUACCGUGAAAGCGUACGGCUCAACCGUAUUUUGUCGGUAGAAACUGCGGGACUUGAGGCUGGGAGGGGCUGGUGGAAUUCCCUGUGUAGCGGUGAAAUGCGUAGAGAUGGGGGAGAACACUCGUGGCGAAGGCGGCCAGCUAGACCAGUUCUGACACUGAGGCGCGACAGCGUGGGGAGCAAACAGG